rnacentral:rRNA from 1 species
UCAGUCGACUCCUACGGGGAGGCAGCAGUGGGGAAUAUUGCACAAUGGGGGAAACCCUGAUGCAGCCAUGCCGCGUGUGUGAAGAAGGCCUUCGGGUUGUAAAGCACUUUCAGUAGGGAGGAAGGUAGUGUAGUUAACACCUGCAUUAUUUGACGUUAUCUACAGAAGAAGCACCGGCUAACUCCGUGCCAGCAGCCGCGGUAAUACGGAGGGUGCGAGCGUUAAUCGGAAUUACUGGGCGUAAAGCGCAUGCAGGCGGCCUGUUAAGUCAGAUGUGAAAGCCCGGGGCUUAACCUCGGAAUUGCAUUUGAAACUGGCAGGCUAGAGUCUUGUAGAGGGGGGUAGGAAUUUCAGGUGUAGCGGUGAAAUGCGUAGAGAUCUGAAGGAAUACCAGUGGCGAAGGCGGCCCCCUGGACAAAGACUGACGCUCAGAUGCGAAAGCGUGGGGAGCAAACAGGAUUAGAUACCCUGGUAG